rnacentral:rRNA from 1 species
AGUGAACGCUGGCGGUAGGCCUAACACAUGCAAGUCGAACGGCAGCACAGUACGAGCUUGCUCUUACGGGUGGCGAGUGGCGGACGGGAGAGGAAUACAACGGAAUCUACUUUUUCGUGGGGGUUCACGUAGGGAAACUUACGCUAAUAUCGCAUCCGACCUACGGGUGAAAGCAGGGGAUCUUCGGACCUUGCGGGUUUGAAUGAGCCGGUGGCGUAUUAGCUCGUUGGCGGGGUACUGGCCUACCCAGGCGCCGAUGGGUAGCCGGUCUGAGAGGGUGACCGGCGACACUGGCACUGAGGUGCGGCCGAGGGUGGUAAUGGAGGAAGAAGGGGGGAAGAUUGAACAAUGGGCGGCAGGGUGAUGAAGAAACGCCGCGUGUGGGAUGACGCUUUUCGGGUUGAAAAAAGCUUUCGGCUGUAACGCCGCGUGAGUGACGGUAACGGAUAAAGAAGCACCGGCUAAAUACGUG